rnacentral:rRNA from 3 species
CUCCUGAAGGAACGUUAAAGACGAUGACGUUGAUAGGCCGGGUGUGUAAGCGCAGCGAUGCGUUGAGCUAACCGGUACUAAUGAACCGUGAGGCUUAACCUUACAACGCCGAAG